rnacentral:rRNA from 1 species
UACAGAGGGUGCGAGCGUUGUCCGGAAUCACUGGGCGUAAAGGGCGCGUAGGCGGCGCGGUAAGCGUGCGGUGAAAGCCCGGGGCUCAACCCCGGGUCGGCCGUGCGGACUGCCGGGCUGGAGCACUGUAGAGGCAGGUGGAAUUCCGGGUGUAGCGGUGGAAUGCGUAGAGAUCCGGAAGAACACCGGUGGCGAAGGCGGCUUCUUGGGCCGUUCCUGACGCUGAGGCGCGAAAGCUGGGGGAGCGAACAGG